AAUAGAUACCCGGGUAGUCCAUGCCGUAAACGUUGGGCGCUAGAUGUGGGGACCAUUCCACGGUUUCCGUGUCGCAGCUAACGCAUUAAGCGCCCCGCCUGGGGAGUACGGCCGCAAGGCUAAAACUCAAAGGAAUUGACGGGGGCCCGCACAAGCGGCGGAGCAUGCGGAUUAAUUCGAUGCAACGCGAAGAACCUUACCAAGGCUUGACAUAUACGAGAACGCUCUAGAAAUAGAGAACUCUUUGGACACUCGUAUACAGGUGGUGCAUGGUUGUCGUCAGCUCGUGUCGUGAGAUGUUGGGUUAAGUCCCGCAACGAGCGCAACCCUCGUUCUAUGUUGCCAGCGGUUCGGCCGGGAACUCAUAGGAGACUGCCGGGGUCAACUCGGAGGAAGGUGGGGAUGACGUCAAAUCAUCAUGCCCCUUAUGUCUUAGGCUUCACGCAUGCUACGAUGGCCGGUACAAAGGGCUGCAAUACCGUAAGGUGGAGCGAAUCCCAAAAAGCCGGUCUCAGUUCGGAUUGAGGU
rnacentral:rRNA from 1 species